CAGCCGCCGCGGUAAUACCGGCGGCCCGAGUGGCGGUCACUAUUAUUGGGCUUAAAGCGUCCGUAGCCGGGUUGGGAAGUCCUCCGGGAAAUCUGGCCGCUUAACGGUCAGAAUGCCGGAGGAUACUCCCAGCCUAGGGAGCGGGAGAGGCCGAGGGUAUUCCCGGAGUAGGGGUGAAAUCCUAUAAUCCCGGGAGGACCACCUGUGGCGAAGGCGCUCGGCUGGAACGCGUCCGACGGUGAGGGACGAAGGCCAGGGGAGCAAACCGGAUUAGAUACCCGGGUAGUCCUGGCUGUAAACGAUGCGGACUUUGUGUCGGACAAGCUAUGAGCUUGUCCGGUGCCGGAGGGAAACCGUUAAGUCCGCCGCCUGGGGAGUACGGCCGCAAGGCUGAAACUUAAAGGAAUUGCGGG
rnacentral:rRNA from 1 species